GCCCUUUUAGCAUAGUAGUCGAGCCGUGGCUUUGAUAGCCACAUGUCGGUGGUUCGAUUUCACCCGAGCGCA
rnacentral:tRNA from 1 species